CAUAGCGCAACCCGGAAGUAUAUAAGGGGCGCCUAGAGAACCAGUCAGUGUCUUUUCGUCUUCAGGGACUGUUUUGUCUGUUUGGCGAUUGCAUCGAAUCCGGGCACCUGUAGACGUCUCCGGUCCGGUGAGCCGGCUGUCCAGUAAGAGGAGAACCGAUCAGAACCCUUUCAGAAAAAAGCAGGAAGUAGAGAGUGGGGUCAUUAAUCCCUGACCACAAAAAACCUUUGGGAUUUGUGAGAAAGUGGAAGCCCGCUGAGCCAAAGUGCAGCUGAUUGAUUCGCCAGUUUUCCAGUGGGAAAGAAAAGCAUAACAUAAAUAUGCACAUGCUUAUUUUUAAAUAUUACAGUAAAAUGGAACAUAUGUGAAAUGUCAGCAGGAUGGGGAGCAAAGAGUUUCUUUUUUCGUCACAAAAAACAGUUAGAGAGUUUGACUAUGAUAUUGACAGAUAUGUGAUGUUUUACCCUUGAACCCCACUGUGAUUUAUGUGCUUUACAGUGAGAUAACGUAAGGUUGUUUACGUUUCAUUAUGUUCUGUGGUACAUCUGAGUGCACUUAGCUUAAUAAAGAACAUUCACCAUG